rnacentral:rRNA from 1 species
AAACGAUUGAAGCCAGUCAUGCCGGUGGGAAAUCAGCUCAUAGGCUACUGUGAGUGCACUUUCUCGCAAGGCAGGUUAACAUCGGUUUCAGUUGCGUUAUAAUGAUAGUGGGAAGGUAGCUCCCUCGGGAGUGUUAUAGCCUGCUAUAGAUGGCGUGAUAGAGAUCGAGGAUUGCAGCGAAUGCCUUUAGGCUACGGGUCUGGUCU